rnacentral:snoRNA from 1 species
UUCCCUGAGGAUGAUGAGAAAAAAUAACAUUCUUUCUUCCGAGUUUUCCAUGGUGAAUAUUUAUAUACGGAGACAUGAACUGAAGAGAC